AAAGUCGUAACAAGGUUUCCGUAGGUGAACCUGCGGAAGGAUCAUUAGAGAGAGUGCUGUGUCCGCUAUUGUGGAUCAUGGCAUGAUUCAUCCUUGUGUUAUGUAACAUGUUGAUUGUGUGGUGCUAUUGCAUUGCACAUCAUUUUAACCAAUUUAAUCCUUGUCUUAUUCUACGCCUGUAACAAGGCACAAACAAUCGAAAACUGCCAGCAAUGGAUCACUCGGUUCUC
rnacentral:misc_RNA from 1 species